rnacentral:rRNA from 1 species
CCCCGUCGAGAUAGAACCCUUGCCUUUUUGAGUACCAUUUUCGUUUCCUCGGCGGGCUCGCCCGCCAACGGGGACCAACCACAAACGCUUUGUAGUACCUGUAAUCGUCUGAUAAACAAGCAAAAAAUUAAAACUUUCAACAACGGAUCUCUUGGUUCUGGCAUCGAUGAAGAACGCAGCGAAAUGCGAUAAGUAGUGUGAAUUGCAGAAUUCAGUGAAUCAUCGAAUCUUUGAACGCACAUUGCGCCCUUUGGUAUUCCUUAGGGCAUGCCUGUUCGAGCGUCAUUUAAACCCUUCAAGCUCAGCUUGGUGUUGGGUGACUGUCCGCCGCCCCCGGGCGCGGACUCGCCCCAAAUUCAUUGGCGGCCGGUACGUAGGCUUCGAGCGCAGCAGAAACGCGAACUCGGGCCCGCGGUGUCGGCUCCCAGAAGCCAUCUCUUUUAUUUUGACCUCGGAUCAGGUAGGGAUACCCGCUGAACUUAAGCAUAUCAAUAAGCGGAGGAA